CGGGUUCACUCCUGGAUGUUACCGUUUCGCCCGGCAGGGCCGGGCGGCGCUUUGGUGUCUGAUUCGGUACGAAUCGGGAGCACCAUCUGCGUAGGCUGAAAAGGUUUAAGGCUUUCGCCGCCUACGGUCUUGGACAGCCCCCGCCAGGCAGGGACCCCAAUAUUCGGCGUGACGGACCGAUCCGCCAC
rfam:Azotobacter vinelandii DJ, complete genome.